GUCUCAGAAAGGAAGACGCCCAGGAUGAGCAAUUACAGACGUUGGAAGUACAGGAAACAAAAAUACACAACGAAAUUGUAUAUCCUGAUCACUCUGUUUCCAUAUCUUACCGCAUCCUUUUCUCGUCGCAAAUCCUCAGGACGGCUUUCAUGUUUUUGACACCAGUGACACACCUCAGAGUCUGGAAGCCAAAGAACCAGGCUGAAUGGAAGUACAUCAUGUCCGUAAUGUGUUCUUCUAAUUCUUCUUGUCUCGAGGUUUACACUAAAGAGAAUGGACUGUCAGAGCGGCCAGAGUAAACCAGAGGGGAAGGAAGGUGCUGGGUUGGGUUGGGCACCGACUGGGAGUCGUGUACACACCUAGACCCUCCCUGCGUGUUUCCUAUUUAAUUCCUCAACUCGGCGAGGUGGUCAUUUCUGCUCUCUUAUUAUAGUGGCUGCACCAAACUACGUUCCCACAGACAGUGAACACUUCUACUUCUGAACUAAAACCUACCAACCAUUCCAAGAAGCCUGGCUUCUGAUUCUGCACGUGUUCGUUCACAUCAGCCUUCCAAGAUCUUGGUACUGCACCAUAUGCCUUCAUUUCAAAGACCCAGCCAAUUAAGGAUCUUAAACUGCUGUGAAGACAUAAAAGUGUCCGCAAACAGUAACUAUACAGAGGAUCACUUCCAAGACUGAGAUUUUGUUAUCUCAUUUUAGGCAAUCUAAAUUAAGCCCUGGGGAAACAUUCUACUGCUAAUAAAUAAUGGCUUGUUGUAAUAUGCAUUAUUGCUGAGAUAAUAGGCCACAUCAGUAUCUCUUUGUGUUAUUGUAACCGAAAAAUAAGAGUGGAGAGUCCUACACUGGGUCCCAAUAUUGAGGGAAAACAAAUGUUAAUUUUCAUAGUGUCACGUUUGGUUUAAAUUAUGUGUUCUGAAUGAAGGCAUGUAUUCACCUUCAAUAUAAUGAAUUCAUUUGUUACCCAGCCACAUUUGAUUUCCAUCAAUUUUCGCUCUAAAACAAUUUUGUGUGAUAGGACCCAGAAGAACAAAAACAGUCCAUGACUUAUCAAUACAUUGAAAUUCACUGAGACUAUUGAUGAAAUGUUUAGAUUUUUAAAAAGUGGCUUCAUAAUAAACUUGAAAAGUCUUAUCAUAAAAUGUCUUUAAAAAUCUUAGCUCAGAAUCUGCUCCCUGCUGAGCUGUAUUUCAGAAUGUGUUGAUUUUUUAAAAAAUCCUGAAUCUCUUGUAUAUUCCACUUUUUAACAAAUAUUACCAACUCUCCAGAUAGAAAAAUCAGAGCCUCUGAUUGAUCUCCAAGGUUUGACUUGAGUUUUUAAUUCACAAGAAGGGAUUGCUUGAAAACUGUUUUCCCCUUGUGAUUAUUUUAAAACUUAUUUUGAAAAGACAUUUUUUUCCAAAAUAAAUUUGGAUGGAAUUAGACUCAUGAAAUAAUUGACUUUGGGAAAAUGUACAGUCACUCCAAGGCUUUUGUUUCCAAUUUUGAUCAAGCAUCUCUAAAGCCAUGUAACUCAGUGGGGAUUAAUAGGGAGUGAGUUGGCCACAAAUAAUCGAUGAAAAGAAAGCAACUUAGUACAAUGAUUUUAAAUCCCAAGUUCACAGUUUGCCUGACAGUGGAUAGUCCAGUGAAAUUCAUAGUGGCAAAGAUCUAGAUCUCUACUAAAUGAGAUUUCUGAAAGAAACACUAAACCGCCUAUAUUCUAGGAAUUGUGAUGUUAAAUGAAAAGGACCUUGAGUUUGCUGAUCUUUGUAAUGAUGCAACAGGAAGAGCAUUAAUAAAUGGAAGAUCAUCCUAAA